AAACAAGAGGUCCAAGCAUUCUGAUUGGUGGAUAAUAGGCUAUCUUUGUCGUGAUUCCCGCUCACCCACCAGUGUAAAGCCGGAUGCUGUUGUGUGCUGUUGUGUGCUGUUGAGUGUGUUUGUGUUUCACUGUGUUCAUUAUCAGACUCACCAAUCUUCCUUAGUACUCCGCUUCAGCAGUUCAAACUAUUGACUCUUCAAGUGAAAAUGAUGUUAAUAUGUGGGUACGGUAUCUUCACGCUUCUGGCUUCGACACUAGCACUCCCCACACUGAUGGAAGACCCCCUCGCCAAGCUUGAACCUGAGGAGAAAGAAGUGCUCUACCCGUUUCCCACCUGGUGUAGACCUAAGUAACACUUUCCGAGUCUUGGUCGGAAGCGGUGGUCAUCAGGAUCUACUACGACUGCCAAGGACGCCUCGUCCGCCAGGAACUAUCCAAGCUCAGGACGAGAAAUACGGAUGGCAUGAGGGUGGAAGAACUUCAGAAUAUCCAAAGAGGUGCACCUGAAAACGAAACGGCUAAGGUAUCGGAUAUACCUGUAAGUUAUCCUUCGAUAAAGUCGAGAUUCAAAUUCCCAAAACACGCUAAGUCUACCACCACACGCCGACCACAGAUUCUGGAACAACCAGACCAGAAUGUUCCGUCAAUUGUGGAUAAAGACAUGAUCAUCGACACUCCGAUACGAUCUUGCCCUGAGGGACAAAACUUCGACAUGUUUUAACAAAUGCAGGAAGGAAUUCCCCGAGAAAAAACCCUCAGUACGGAUAAUUUAUAGCUGAACUGCUGAGGAAUGCUGAUGAGAAAACCCACGUCAGUGCUGAACCACUUACCUCCCGCCACCGUGCUGAUUCCUGACAUCGGAUUCUACAAUACCACUCCAAUCGUCCUAUUGACUAUAUUUACUGUGAUAAAUUAUACCUAACAAUAAAUAAAUUUUUUAUUUUUAAUUUCUUUCUCAUACAAUUUUGUAAACUUUGGCUGUUAUAAACAUUACUUUUCAUGUCAUAUUCUGUAGAUAUAUUUAUUUGUUUAAAGUUGGAAACUAAUUGUAUUGUUAUUAUCAAUUGACUCUUUAAGUUACAUAUGAACUGGUGUGUAAUUAUUUUAACACACAAAAAUAUCUUCUCAUUUUAUGUAUACUGAUUAUAGAUAUAAAACAUUUUUCUUCA